GGCACGGUGGCUUAGUGGUUAGCACGUUUGACUCUCAUUUCCAGGAUUGGGGAUUCAAUUCCCGCCUCUGCCC